rfam:Triticum aestivum genome assembly, contig: Triticum_aestivum_CS42_TGACv1_scaffold_329140_4BS
AUGAUACUCCCUCCGUCCCGAAAUACUUGUCAUCAAAAUGGAUAAAAGGGGUUGUAUUGUAUCUAGACGUAUUUUAAUUCUAAAUACAUCUCUUUUUAUCCAUUUUGAUGACAAGUAUUUUCGGACGGAGGGAGUAUAUG